UCUUAAUUGUAUAUCUUGCAAAUGUGCUUGGAAAAUGGAUUAGAUGCACCAGCUGUUUACUACCAUGGCAGAGCCUUUUCCGAAGCAUUUAUAGCGGCUCCCAAGUAUUAUCCACGUUCCCUGCUCUGGCAGUGUAAGCAUGUGAUCAGGAAGGACCCGCUUUGGUUCAAUGUGAAGAUUAGCUUGGGUUUUGUAGCCCAGACAAAAGGAGGAUGGUGGGAGAGAAUACAGGAGAAUUUAAGAAACAAACCAACACACACAUUAGAGGAAUUUAUCUCAGAAGCAAUAGCUGAUGUGAGGUGUGGCAAGGCAAGGGAGAGCAACGAGGCUCGGGAUUUUGCAACA